rnacentral:tRNA from 1 species
UCUCAGUUGGUUGAGUGUGGUGCUGAUAACACCAAGGUUGCGGGUUCAAUUCCCGC